AUCCGUUCCCAAUUUGGGGAAAAAUAAGUUCUUUGAAUCUUUGGACCAGGCAAAAGCCUCCGACCAUAGGCCGCACUCCUACCAGGCCUAGCGUGUUUGCUACGCUCCAUAGAGGCACGUGAAACAAAACACUUCACUGUUUUAAAACAGCUGGCUGUUACGUUCAUUCUCUUCUGGUUCCUGUUCCCCACCUUCAGCCCCUGCGAUGAACUCACAGAAUUGAAGCUUUGGCUUGGCAUUGGCAAUGCUUGCUUACUGCUUUCUCCCUCUCUCUAGAAGCCUUUUUCGUCUCAUGCUGCCUCCAUGAUCACUCGUCUCCGCCUCGACAUUGUUCUGAAACAUAGCAAAGCAAAACAUUUCUGAGGGAAAACCUUCCCUUAUACAAUCGACUUAGCACACUGUUUGAAGGGAUGGCCAGCUACGGCAGAAAUUUGAAGUCAAUGAAAAGCCAAGGAGUGGUACAUAAACAUUAAAUGCACCAGAAAAUGCACCUAUUAUAUGUCAUAUCAGUCCCCGUGUCGCCGAUGUGGAUAAUGAUAUAGAACCAAGUAGUGAUGAUGAAACCUCAUCUGAACAGUAUCUGCAAAGUAGAACCAGAAAGGCCCCUUUACCAAGUGCACAUAGGGUAAGAAGGCAUCAUGAAAGUGAUGGUGACAAUUGAUGAGAUUUUUAUAAGAAUUUUUGGAAAGCCACUGUAAAAUCUUACGUGAACAAUGCUAAGCAACCAGCUCAUCCUUCUCUGGAUGAUGGCUACUCUUAUGUUGAAUGCCUACAAGAGCUUAAACGAAUUGAAGGCCUAGAUAUAUUUGAGAUUGUAAAAGUGGCAUGUGAUUUAAAGGAUGAACAAAACAGAAUUGCAUUCAUGACUUUUGAAGGACCAGCUCAUGUUGGUUUCCAAUGAUUUUGUUUUAAUUAAGAUUGUGUUGUUUGGUCACUCACUUUUUUUUAGUCUAGUUAAUAUUUGCACUCAUAUGGUGAGGGGUUUUCUAAUAUUGGAUUUUAUGGUCACAAAUUCCCGUUUACAUUAUUUUGACUAAGUUUCCUUUUAAUUUAUCCGUUGUCAUGGUGUAUAUCAAUUGAAUCAAAUUACAGACGUUUGUGAAUCACAAUACAUCACUCAAACUAAUCAGGUGUUGCCAUGGGAAACACUUCGUAUUCUGGAGGAGUUUGCAUUCAUCAAGUUGUCCUAAAGUUAAACUUGCUGAUAAAAAAUUAGAGAACUGGAAGCGUCAAGGUGUGUGUUUUGGACCUGAUUUAGUUCUUUUGGCUCCCUUUCAGCUUCUUAUGCUGCCAUGCCAUCCGCAAAUUUCAAGAAAAUUAAUGGCUGCAUAGGCUUGCAGAUAACCCGAAACUAACCCUGAACACAGGCCAUUCCCUUUAGUUCUCUGUCCAUUUAUUUUAUAUAAUGCAUUUGUGCUUAUGUGGUGAUUUCCUUACUUUGUUUUAUGCUUUGGAAUUUUUAGCUGAAGCUACUUUCCAUUAAACAGCUAGACUUUGCCUUCACAUGUGCAGUGUUUUAUAAAGAUUUAGAUGGCCUACACUGGGAGUGAAAUAAUUGGUUCUUUAAAUAUGUAGCUUCUAAAGCAAACAAGCAGCUGAUGAGGUACCAAACAACCUGCUUGUUACGACAUAGUAUUGUUAUUAUUUUUAAAGAAUUGACCAUAUUAUUAUUAUUAUUAUUCAAUGUUAAUUUUUGUGUUUCAGUGUGUCAAA